AUUGAACGCUGGCGGAAUGCUUUACACAUGCAAGUCGAACGGCAGCACGGACUUCGGUCUGGUGGCGAGUGGCGAACGGGUGAGUAAAGUAUCGGAACGUGCCCAGUCGUGGGGGAUAACGUAGCGAAAGUUACGCUAAUACCGCAUACGAUCUAUGGAUGAAAGCGGGGGAUCGCAAGACCUCGCGCGAUUGGAGCGGCCGAUAUCAGAUUAGGUAGUUGGUGGGGUGAAGGCUCACCAAGCCGACGAUCUGUAGCUGGUCUGAGAGGACGACCAGCAACACUGGGACUGAGACACGGCCCAGACUCCUACGGGAGGCAGCAGUGGGGAAUUUUGGACAAUGGGCGAAAGCCUGACCCAGCCAUGCCGCGUGCAGGAUGAAGGCCUUCGGGUUGUAAACUGCUUUUGUACGGAACGAAAAGGUUUGGGCUAAUAAGCUGAGCUCAUGACGGUACCGUAAGAAUAAGCACCGGCUAACUACGUGCCAGCCGCCGCCGUAA
rnacentral:rRNA from 1 species